rnacentral:rRNA from 1 species
UACGGAGGGUGCGAGCGUUGUCCGGAAUCAUUGGGCGUAAAGGGCGCGUAGGUGGCGGGAUAAGCGUGCGGUGAAAGCUUGGGGCUCAACCCCGAGUCGGCCGUGCGAACUGUUCUGCUUGAGCACUGUAGAGGCAGGCGGAAUUCCGGGUGUAGCGGUGGAAUGCGUAGAGAUCGGGAAGAACAUCGGUGGCGAAGGCGGUCUGCUGGGCCGUCCCUGACACUGAGGCGCGAAGGCGUGGGGAGCGAACGGGG